rnacentral:sRNA from 1 species
UGUGCCAACGGAUCGGUACAGGCUUUCACGGACGAGAGCCAAGGACAUCGCAGGAGGCGAUUCAUCAGGACGAUGAAAAAGGAUUACAGGGAUUAAGGAAAAAUGUGGGCGGGUCAUACCGCCCCUUUUUAU